UUCAUUUUAUUUUUUACCCAUUCAUCAUUCGGGAGCAGGUGGUUCAGUUUCCACGUAGUUGUGUGGCUUUGAGUGAGUUUCUUAAUCUUGAGUUCUAGUUUAAUUGCAUUGUGAUCUGAGAGACUGUUUGUUAUGAUUUCUGUUAUUUUGCAUUUGCUGAGGUAUGUUUUACUUCCAAUC